GGAGGGUGCGAGCGUUGUUCGGAAUCACUGGGCGUAAAGCGCGUGUAGGCGGCCUCAUAAGUCCGAUGUGAAAGCCCGGGGCUCACCCCCGGAAGUGCAUUGGAUACUGCGAGGCUGGAGUACCGGAGAGGAGGGUGGAAUUCCUGGUGUAGCGGUGAAAUGCGUAGAUAUCAGGAGGAACACCUGUGGCGAAGGCGGCCCUCUGGACGGAUACUGACGCUGAGACGCGAAAGCGUGGGGAGCAAACAGGAUUAGAUACCCUGGUAGUCCACGCUGUAAACGAUGGGCACUAGGUGUUCGGGGUAUUGACCCCCCGAGUGCCGCAGCUAACGCAUUAAGUGCCCCGCCUGGGGACUACGGCCGCAAGGCUA
rnacentral:rRNA from 1 species